GACAGAGGUCCCGAGCGUUGUUCGGAUUCAUUGGGCGUAAAGGGCUCGUAGGCGGCCAACUAAGUCAGACGUGAAAUCCCUCGGCUUAACCGGGGAACUGCGUCUGAUACUGGAUGGCUUGAGAUUGGGAGAGGGAUGCGGAAUUCCAGGUGUAGCGGUGAAAUGCGUAGAUAUCUGGAGGAACACCGGUGGCGAAGGCGGCAUCCUGGACCAACACUGACGCUGAGGAGCGAAAGCCAGGGGAGCAAACGGG
rnacentral:rRNA from 1 species